ACUUUUCUUUGGUUGACAGCUCACUGGUGGAAGCCCAUUGAGCUUGGGUAUGGUGAUGUUAGUGGAGGAGGUCAAAGCUUUGGCAGCUUUGCAGGAUGUAAGUGGAUCUGUAGGGUAGUAGAGCUAUUGAUCUAUCUCCUGCUACUUGUUGAAGUGAUGGAAGUGAAGCACAGUUCUGAAAACAUCUUGCAGCCACUUGUUG